GUCUGAGAGUCCAUCAGCCGCGUUGACCAGGUCCAGUUGGCUAAUCCGGGAAGGUAAGCCACGAGAUCGCGACGUAGACCAACCUGGAGCUGAUUUCCAAAGAAAUUUUUCGUCACAGGUGUUUCCAGUAAGAGUGAGUCAUAAACGCCACGCUGUCGAGACUUCGAUUUUAUGAGGUUGUUGCACGAGUACUCGAAAUCGUUUUCACCGUUGGUAUUUGGACGAAAGGUAAACAAUUUGAUCCUUUUCGAACUUGUUGUCGUGAUUUUUGCACGGUACGGUAUUUACCGAAGGAUCGGUAAUUCAUCGUUCUCUUAAGAAGUUUCGCGAUUCGCAUUUAUAUGCAAAAAAAAGAAAAGACGAAAACACUGGAUAUGAAACGAGAGCGUUAAAAUUAAAUUCGGCAAUAAGAGAAUCUUGUUACUUUCGUUAUCACGUAUCCGAACGCCUCGCGUUUUGCCUAACAAGGAAGUUACAUAAAAAGUAAGGGGAUUCAGACCCGGGAAACUUUGUCUCCGGCAUUUUCGCAAUCUUCGAGAACAGUAUCGCGGCCUGGAAUUUUGCAAUUCAGUGCGCCGAAAGACGUUGCACAUUAGCCCGUGAUACCGCGAAUAUGCGAUUUGCAUAUCACAAUAUGCAAACCAAAUUCGCGGCAUAUUCGAAGAGAACGAUACCGCGGUUCCUAGGCUCUCGAGCAGGCGUGGAUCCGUGGUGAAACUAACGGAUCUUCCGCAUUUGCUCCCCGAGAACUCCUUGUUUGUUGAUCUCU